GAUGAACGCUGGCGGCGUGCCUAAUACAUGCAAGUCGAGCGAAGCGGGGACGGGUGAGUAACACGUGGAUAACCUCCUAUAAGACUGGGAUAACUUUGGGAAACCGGAGCUAAACCGGAUACUUAGAGAUGGAUCCUCGCUGCAUUAGCUAUUUGGUAAGGUAACGGCGGACAAAGGCAACGAUGCAUAGCCGACCUGAGAGGGUGAUCGGCCACACUGUAACUGAGACACGGUCCAUGCUCCUACGGGAGGCAGCAGGAGGGAAUCUUCCGCAAUGGGCGAAAGCCUGACGGAGCAAUGCCGCGUGAGUGAUGAAGGUCUUCGGAUCGUAAAACUCUGUUAUUAGGGAAGCGGUACCUAAUCAGAAAGCCACGGCUAACUACGUGCCAGCCGCCGCGGUAAUAC
rnacentral:rRNA from 1 species